AAAAAUGUUUGCCCUCGCGACCUCCGCGGUCCGAGGCAAAAAAAAACCCCCACACUGUGUGCACCGUUACCGUUUUCUUUGGCAGGGGCUUGGGGUUUGCGUCCUCGCACCUCAACUUCUCCUCUGGCUCCAUCCCAAUGUGUGUUGGGACAGCCGGACAUGGGAAGCCGUACCCUGCCAAGUAACCCUAAAUCACUCUUCUGUUGGUCUGAAACUUUUGCGUUUUAAAUAAAACUAAAACA
rnacentral:misc_RNA from 1 species